UUACAAUGGAGAGUUUGAUCCUGGCUCAGGAUGAACGCUAGCGGCAGGCCUUACACAUGCAAGUCGAGGGGUAACAGGAGAGAGCUUGCUCUUUCGCUGACGACCGGCGCACGGGUGCGUAACACGUAUGCAACCUACCUCUUACUGGGGGAUAGCCCAGAGAAAUUUGGAUUAACACCCCAUAGUAUCAUUCUUCCGCAUGGUUGAAUGAUUAAAGGUUACGGUAAGAGAUGGGCAUGCGCCCCAUUAGCUAGUUGGUGAGGUAACGGCUCACCAAGGCUACGAUGGGUAGGGGGUCUGAGAGGACUAUCCCCCACACUGGUACUGAGACACGGACCAGACUCCUACGGGAGGCAGCAGUGAGGAAUAUUGCGCAAUGGACGAAAGUCUGACGCAGCCAUGCCGCG
rnacentral:rRNA from 1 species